AAAGCGGCGAAAGGGAGAGGAAUAGGUGGGAAUCUGCCCCUGGAUCGGGGAUAGCUACGGGAAACUGUAGGUAAUACCCGAUAACGUCGAAAGACCAAAGGUGUGAUUCCGUCUGGGGAUGAGCCCACCUCCUAUUAGCUAGUUGUUAGGGUAAUGGCCUAACAAGGCAUUGAUGGGUAGCUGGUGUGAGAGCACGACCAGCCUCACUGGCACUGAGACACUGGCCAGACACCUACGGGUGGCUGCAGUCGAGAAUCUUCGGCAAUGGACGAAAGUCUGACCGAGCGACGCCGCGUGCGGGAUGAAGGCCUUCGGGUUGUAAACCGCUGUCGUAGGGGAUCAAAUGCAUUUGGGUACUCCCUUUUGCUUGAGAGAUCCUAGGAGGAAGGAGAGGCUAAGCUCGUGCCAGCAGCCGCGGUAAGACGAGCUCUCCAAACGUUAUUCGGUAUUACUGGGCUUAAAGAGUUCGUAGGCGGUCUUGUAGGUGAGGUGUGAAAGCCCUCGGCUUAACCGAGGAAUUGCGCUUCAAACCACAAGGCUUGAGGGAGGUAGGGGUAUGCGGAACAGAUGGUGGAGCGGUGAAAUGCGUUGAUAUCAUCUGGAACACCGGUGGCGAAAGCGGCAUACUGGACCUUUUCUGACGCUGAGGAACGAAAGCUAGGGUAGCGAACGGGAUUAGAUACCCCGGUAGUCCUAGCCGUAAACGAUGAGCACUAGUCUGUAGGGACCCUCAUAUCC
rnacentral:rRNA from 1 species